rnacentral:rRNA from 1 species
AUUGAACGCUGGCGGCCGGCUUAACACAUGCAAGUCGAGCGAGCGGCGGACGGGUGAGUAAUGUCUGGGAACCUGCCUGAUGGAGGGGGAUAACUACUGGAAACGGUAGCUAAUACCGCAUACCAUCAGAUGUGCCCAGAUGGGUUUAGCUAGUAGGUGGGGUAAUGGCUCACCUAGGCGACGAUCCCUAGCUGGUCUGAGCGGGUGACCAGCCACACGGGAACUGAGACACGGGCCAGACGCCUACGGGAGGCAGCAGUGGGGAAUAUUGCACAAUGGGCGCAAGCCUGAUGCAGCCAUGCCGCGUGUGUGAAGAAGGCCUUCGGGUUGUAAAGCACUGUCAGCGGGGAGGCGGGACCCGAAGAAGAAGCACCGGCUAACUCCGUGCCAGCAGCCGCGGUAAUAC